UGAUGUUAUUUGGGUUUUCUGUGCUUGCCUUUGGUGCACUUGGUGCACUCAGCUCAGACAGCCACAAUGAAACCACUUUGUGUGUGCGUUUGUGCGCAUGUUCAAUGUGUGUGGCCCCAAACACACACCCACACACAGCAGGGGACAGUAAGCAACAGGUGUAGAAGAGGAUUUUAAAACACACAGUGAACCUUUUUUCCUGUUUGACUUCUGAACUUUUGCUGUCACCGCUGGCAUACGAGGACAGCUGUGAAAAUGACCUUGUUUGCUUCACACAGAGCGUAGUAAAAAUUAUAUCUGUCUCUGUGUGAAUAAGUGCACUAAGUGUCCUGCUUCACUAAAGACUGUCUCCUGUUGAAACACAUUUAUCUGUAGUCUGCGUUAACCAGCAUAUGACCUGUAUAUAACAUAUGUUGUUAUUUAAUGGUAGAAAGCAACAAAAAACAGAACAUGCCGCCACUGAUAAUUGCACUUCAGACAGAUAGCAACAGUGCAUAGGAUAUGGGAGUAAAUCACAUUAGUUACUUACAUUGAUGAUGCAGCUGUUGGAUUUGUUAAUUUGUCAUGAGGGGGAUGGUCCUGAGUGAAGAGGUCACCUCUGUGUUGCUGACUGCAGCAGCUGAUAAUUUACAACUGAUAAGGCAUUUUCUCUUUUGAACAGUGGAGAGCGUCAACUCUCGUUUAGGUCGAACAAAGAACCUGAAUUUAUUCUAUUGAUGUUAACAUUGGACUUCAUUUAGAUUUAACUGCCAGCGAUGGAGGCUUUGCAGACAUGUUGCCAGCUAUGUUUAAAAGAAACGACUGAAGUUGGUCUUUUCACCAAGCGGGAGAUAUCGUAGCUGUCAGAAAUGUGUUCAUUCCAAAAUCUCCGUGACGGGAAUAUAUUUUCCAACUAAGCUACUCGUGACUACAGCAAUAUGACAUGAUAUAUUGUUGUGACGUGGUAUGACGUGAACAUAGCUUACCUCUCGGUUUUGGUACGAACUAAACAAACAAGACACAACUGCGAACCGCAAAGUUGCUGGUUUGAAUCCGACUGGGGAUCUUUGUUGCUUUUCCUUUCAUUUCUUUAAUGUCAUCUCUAAUAAAGUCAUAAAAAUACCUGAUUUUUUUUUUUUUGGUGAGAUUUACAGAUGCUUGUAAGUGGAUUUUGUUACCUUCGGACAGACUCGGGCUAGCUGUUUCCCACUGUUUCUAGUCUUUAUGCUAAGCUAGGCUAAGCAUUAAGACAGAGCCAAGUUUAGAAGACAGCUCUCUCUUUAGAAAAACAUAAUGACUAUAAGUGAGAUAGGAUUAGAGAAGUAAAAGAGCCAAAAAGGGGCAUCUUUGGAUGGAAGCUGGAGAUUGUGUUGAUAUAAAUUUAAAUAUAUAAUCCAUCCAUCGAGAUAUUUCUGGCCAUAAAUUCAUGCGUAUCUUCUUUCCUAAUCUCCUCCACUGUCUUGAGCUCUCAGGUCAAGAACCUCCCCCAUCACUAAUUUCUCCCAUCAUUUCUGUUUGGAGGUUUCCUCAAACCUCUCCUAUUUUAGUAUGUUCCGCCAAACAUGAUUUGCCCUCUUGUGUAAAGAAAAAACUCACUGAGCUCCCUGUCCGCUUUCUCUCUCAUAAAACAACAUAGCGCUGUGUGUGCGAGUAUGUGUUUCCAUGCACCAACAGUUAUGUUCCCAAACCUGGAGGGAGCGAUCACUCUUGGUACAGUGAGGAGGACAGUCCACCCGGAUUCACCAGCAGCUCUUUAUAAGGACAAGGGAAAAAAGGCCUUGCUGCCUCUAUAUUUAGAUGGACUUUAUUGGGCCUUGUCUUUUCUCCCCCCUCCUCCUGUUCUGCCGCUGUUAGAAAUCUCUCACCAAAGCCAUGUGGGCGGCAGGCCCUCCUCUCCAUCGCUGGGUGAUAAUAACAGUGCAGAGGAAACGAAAGAGAGAUGGGGAGAGGAUGGAGGGAGGAUGACAGAGAAGUGCUUGGAGGAGGUCCUGUGUUAGAGGCAUGUUAUCCAUCCAGCCCCAUGGGGAGGAGACUGGCGGCCCCCUGAUGUCUCACAACCACCGGAUGGGUCUCUUCCAUUCCCAUUGCUCCAAUUUACCCACUGUAUGGAGAGGCUGAGGUGGCAGACACUGUUGCAUUGAAUCUGUGUGGAAAUAUGUGCAUAUAUAUCCAUACAUAGUGCUCUUAUAGGUCCCCUCAACAUAACUCUGCUAUCUUAUCUCCAAAGAGAAGCAUAUGUCUCAAGGGCUUUGACCUCUGCUGUCCAAAUUUACUGCCAAUGACUAAACAGCACUCUAACACGGCACACUCUUUCCACCUACCUCUCUCUUUCUUAUCUUUCUUAUUGCCUGGUGAUUCUAACAAAGUAUAGUCAAACACGAAUGGCACCGAGCCAGCUCUCAGGAGACUUUGCUACUGAGACAGAGGUGAAAAAGAGAAAAAGCUUUGGCGCUAAUUAGCCUCAGAUGGGGGCUGGUUGUGGACUUGACCUGACUUCAGCCUUUACAAAAGACUGACUAAAGACUCUUAAAACCUUAAGCAAACAUCGGCUGAGUAUUAACUACUCGUUAUAGUGACUUGUGUUGUAGGUCUUGGGUCUAACAGCAAUCAAAAUCCAUGCUCGUCUUCAGGCCUCUAAUCCUGAUUUCAGCAGAUGUUGUCAGAUCGGUAUCAAUCUUGCUUACAUCCUCUAAAUACCAUGAACAUAAUUACUUAUUCCCAACCUUCUCUUCUUAGAUAACAAGUAUAAGAGUCUACAGCCAUGCUAGCAGCUCUGUGAGGCUGUAGUUAAUUAGGCACAGUGGUGCUUUAAGCCAAAUGCUGAUAUGAUGUUUAGGAGCUAUAAUUUCAACCGUGGUCACCAUCUUAGUUUAGCGUGUUAGCAUGCUAACAAUCCCUAAUAAGCACUAAACAUGAAGUACAACUGAGGCUGAUGGGUAUGACAUUAGUUUUGUAUUGUCAUUAGUACUGGACAAAUCAAAAUGUUGACCUGAUGAUGGCGCUAGAGGAAACGUCAGGGGAUCAACUCAUUAGGGUGCAUCCUGAAGGGGAUAUGAAUAUCUACAAAAUUCCAUGGCAAUCCAUCCAGUAGUUGUCACAAUAUUUCACUUAGAACGACAAAUGUCAAACUCAUGGUGGCGCUAGAGGUAAAUUCAGGAAAUACCCAAUUAGGAUCAUAGACUGUAUAAAAUGUGGACGUAGUCUCUGUGACAUCACCCAUAGGUUUCUGAAGAGCGAUUGUGAAGCUCAGUGUGGUGGCUCCGGAUGUCGCCAUCUUGGCAGCGCCUGACUCCGCUUAACUCCCGGCUAAUCCAAAAAUGGGCAAAGAGGUGGAGCAUGGGUGGAGCUAGCAGACAGCUAGCGGCUAGCCACCUGUGAUGGCACCCACCUGUCACUCAAAUUAUGCAUAAUUUUAAACUUUAAUAUAAUUUAAACGGGUGAGUUAUAUAACAGUUUACCCCUGUACAGUUGUCAUGAACAAAGAAAUUAGCCAUAGAGACCAAAGCCGUUACUAGGCUGUAAACAUGUUUAUUUCUGCUGUAAAGUUGGGCAUUUUAACAUGGGGGCUUAUGGGGAUUGCGUCACUUUUGGAGGCAGCCUCAAGUGUCUGUUCGAGGAACUGCAGUUUUUGGCACUUUCAGCGUUUUCAGCCCCGGAGGUUGCCGCUCGAUUAGGAGACAUCGUCUGGGAACCAGUAGAUGAAGUGAAAACUUUGACCUGCUGGUGGCACAAGAUGAAAAGUCAGAGGAUCACCAAAGUCAUAAAAUUUCAUGGCAAAACCAUCCAGUAGUUUUUGAGAUAUUUCACUAAAAAACAAAAAUGUUAACCUGAUGGUGGCACUAGAGCAAAAGUCAGGGGUUUAUCAAAAUUUCACAACAUCUGAACCAAUAGUUGUUAAAGAGAUAUUUCUGGAUAAAAGCGGUGGACAGACAGACAAACCGACAUUGCCAUACAUAGAGCCACACCGCUAGCAUGGUUAAUAAUGCCCUUACAACGUAUAGACUGUACACUUGUCUGACUGGGUUUGUUGUCUCUAAUACUGUAAGUGAAUGGCAUGUCUGUAGCUGAUUGUGCUUAUCUUAUACGAAAGGAGGCUUGACAGGCUGAAAAGGGGACCUAAGAAACUUUAUCUUUACCUCACCGAUGAGCAAAGCCCAGUCAGCUGAGGCUGAAUGAGGCAAAAAGAUUUGCAUAUGAGCUGCCAAAUUCUGGAGUCACACAAGAAAAGCAUCAACUGCCAUGCAAAUGAGAAGCAAAUGAGAUUCAAACCAGGCCAGGUAAAGGAGGGGUUAGAAAGGUAAGAGCACAGGAGUGUUUUUCUGUAUCCUAUACCAUAAUAUAUCCAGGUCUGUCAAGUUUUACCACAGCAGCAACAGCAGGACUCUGGGGAAGGACAAACCAUGACAUCAGAAUGGUGGAAGAAGCGCUGAAGACAAUAGUUCUCUGUGCGGUAGUAGAGCUGAGGCGUGGCCUUGCUCGACAGAGGGUCUUCUCAGUGGACCAGCCGGCCUCAGCAGCUGUCUCAACCUCUGUCUGUAUCUCUGUCACACACACAAUUUCAAUUCAGCAUGAAAGCUUACAUAGCAUUAGGACAAAGGAUCAACAGAUUUAUGUUAAAUCCCUUUACCCCUAUGUAUCUGUCUGUGUGUGUGUGUGUGUGUGUGUCUGCCUCUCUCUGUCCAUGCUCAGUGCCAGCUCAGGAACGCAGGGACGGAGGUGGAGUAGGAGGAGAGCCCCGGAGAAAGAAACAUAGUUCGAACAAACUGGCAAAACAAAGAACCAAUGGACAGAAAGGCCCCCACUGACAGGAGAUCAGGGUUGAUAGUAGCAUAGAUGUGUGUGUGUGUUUGUGUGUGCUCAAGUAAACACAUAACACACAGCACACAACCUGCCCACAUGACAGAACUGUAUUUACACUCUACUUGCCUCCCCGUAAUUGCCUGAGGAGAUAUAGGAAAAGAUUCCAGACAUGCAGCCGCCGCACAUCUUGUGCCAGAAUACUAAAGUCCAAGUUAUUUACCCAGACCCUCCAGUGGAGAGCCCUCUUCUUAAACAGCCACAAAGGUUUACAGGCCAUGACAGAGAGGAGUGAAGAAGCUCACCACGGAGCUGAAUUUCACAAGGGGAGAGAAGAGAGCUACGUGACACCAAGAGGAACUGAGGCAGAAGUUAGAGCCUCAUGCGUCCCUCACGGGUCACAACACAUGGGUUGUCAAAAGGAGUUUGGCUAGCCUUAAAUUAAAAAAAAAAACAGCUCAAUAAGGGAUGUGCAAACAGCCGACGAGCAUCAUUGAGCGUGUAUGAGCAGUGUAUCAACACAAAACAGACCUGCCCUUCAGUUUAGGUCUGAUGACAACAAAUGCAAUAAAAGCAGUGUGCAAUACACCCAGCCUCGAGGGGCCGCCACAGCUCUCUAUUCAGCCUCUCAUUCACCUGUGGGGAGGAUUCAAUAGGUCUGCAUGUUAUUAAAAGCUUUCAUACACAUGAUGAUGGCAUUAUGAGUUUGCGCAGAGGACACCGGCCAUUGUUGAAGCCUUCUGCCUGGCUGUAAGCUCGGACACUGAACAUAAGCUUUUAUUUUUAACCAGUCUACCAUUCUUCUGAAGAGAUGGUCUAACUGGAAAUGUAUUUUCACAUCUGUUUGACAGUAACCAGCACCCUUCCUCUGCACUUCAGUUUGUAAACAUUCCUGUAAUCCCAAAGCCUAAUGACUUUGAAAGUCAUGUGAUAGCUAUUUCUUGGGCACAGGGAGUAAAACAAACAACGCUCAUUAAAUAUAAACAAUACUUUUGGGGGAAAAAAAGAUUUGAAAUUGCCGACAUGGCGGUUAAAGCUUUGGCAUUGGUGGGCACAUGACCCCACACACACACACACACACACACACACACACUUCUCAGCACGUUCUGAAUUUAUAUUCUGCAUCCAGUGGUGUGGAGGCUGUGUGGUGAAAGAGAAGCGUGUCGGACUGUUGUCGUGUUGUGAACCGGGUGACCCUCACACACAGCUGCGCACUGUGAGACACACAGUCUCCUGCUUUAUCCUGGGAUCAAGAUCAGUGAGGAUAUCUUCAAGUGAAGACUGGACACACACUACACUGACGCACACAGGCCCCUUGCUAUGUAAAUUCUGUGGGCCUAGUCAGUCAAAAGACAAUGACUGCCAUCUAGUGGUGACUCAGUAGAGAGGAAAGGUUUCCACAGUUGAAGGAGGAGUGGGGUAAGACGAGACACAACUAAAACUAAUUCUUGCAUCCAUAUGGCAGGAUAUUCACUUUCAAAUGAAGAGAAAACAAUGCGGCUGAAUAAUGAAAAUGAAAACAGCUUCUCAAAAACUAUGAAACAGAACUGUCGAAAGACAAGUUCUUGUGUGCUGUUUUGCACAUUAGAUUGUGUGACUUUAUAAGUAGAAACACUUUAAAGACAACAAAAAAGCAACGGCAAGUUAGGUGUAAAAUAUGUUGUCUUAGCGCAACACUAAUCGUUAUGAAGUUAAGGAAAAAAGGACCCUGCCACUACCUUACUAAUAAAAGACCCUUGGUUUUAAAGGUCAGUAAAAUAUAAAGUCAGAUCUUACUGUCUGGCAAUGCACUGCAGUAGUUAUGGAAAUUGAGCGUAAAACAAUAAGCAUGCAAACAUAGCAACACAAGAAAUAAUAAUUGAUCCAAUGAUGUUUAAGCACUAUUUGAAUCAGGAGCAGCAGUCUGUAUUCAGCUCUUCAGUUUCUGAUGCUGGUAACCAGAUGGGUUCCAGGAGGACUCAAAAGAUGACUUUCUUUAAGUGGUACUGAUUUAUUCAAACGUUCAUGUGUAUUGUUUUCAUAACAUUACAAUGGAAAACAAAAUAAAAAGCAACAUAAAAAUUCUGCUGACGAAAAGAACAAAUUCAACAAAAGGAGAACAGGUCUCUGAUGCACACUAAAUAUUACUGAUCUACUGAGAAUAUUUCUACAGAAAUGUUUCUACUUAAAUCAUGCAGACCUGCAGUAAACUGUAUCAUACAUCAUCAUA